rnacentral:rRNA from 1 species
ACGAACGCUGGCGGCAUGCCUAACACAUGCAAGUCGAACGAGACCUUCGGGUCUAGUGGCGCACGGGUGCGUAACGCGUGGGAACCUGCCCUUAGGUUCGGAAUAACUCCCCGAAAGGGGUGCUAAUACCGGAUAAUGUCUUCGGACCAAAGAUUUAUCGCCUUUGGAUGGGCCCGCGUUGGAUUAGCUAGUUGGUAGGGUAAAAGCCUACCAAGGCGACGAUCCAUAGCUGGUCUGAGAGGAUGAUCAGCCACACUGGGACUGAGACACGGCCCAGACUACUACGGGACGCGCCAGUGGGGAAUAUUGGACAAUGGGCGAAAGUCUGAUCCAGCAAUGCCGCGUGAGUGAUAAAGGCCUAAGGGUUGUAAAGCUCUUUUACCCGGGAUGAUAAUGACAGUACCGAGAGAAUAAGCACCGGCUAGCUCCGUG